UGAUCAAUAAUCAAUGAUCCACGAUCGUUGAAGGUUGAGCACGAUCAGUGGUCAUUGAUCAUUGGUCGUAGAUCAUUGAUAUUUCCUGCGCCCCAGGUCCGCAGGCUUUCCGCUCGUGAACCGCGUCAGGCCCCCGCAGGGAGCAGCGCUAAGCGAUGUCGGGAUUCGUUGCGGGGUGCCUGGGGCAAUUCACUUCCAAUGCUCAAUGACCAAUAUCCAAUGAUCAUUGAUCAUUGAUCA
rnacentral:SRP_RNA from 1 species